rnacentral:rRNA from 1 species
CCUACGGGAGGCAGCAGUGAGGAAUAUUGGUCAAUGGCCGGAAGGCUGAACCAGCCAAGUCGCGUGAGGGACGACUGCCCUAUGGGUUGUAAACCUCUUUUAUAAGGGAAGAAUAAAUGCUACGUGUAGCAUGAUGCCUGUACCUUAUGACUAAGCAUCGGCUAACUCCGUGCCCGCAGACGAGGUAAUAAGGAGGAUGCGAGCGUUAUCCGGAUUUAGUGGGUUUAAAGGGUGCGUAGGCGGUGUUUUAAGUGAGUGGUGAAACGUCGGGGCUUCACCUUGAUUUGCCAUUAAUACUGUAAGACUCGAGUUCAGACGAGGUAGGCGGAAUAAGUUAAGUAGCGGUGCAAUGCUUAGAUAUAACUUAGAACUCCGAUAGCGAAGGCAGCUUACCAGACUGCGACUGACGCUGAAGCACGAGAGCGUGGGUAGCGAACAGGAUUAGAUACCCUAGUAGUC